rfam:Oryza rufipogon genomic scaffold, chr03
AAUAAGUGCAGUUUUGCACUAUUCACAUUCAACGUUUGACCGUUCGUCUUAUUUGAAAUUUUCUUUAUGAUUAGUAUUUCUAUUGCUAUUAGAUAAUAAAAUAUGAAUAGUACUUUAUGUGUGGCUAAUUUUUUAAAAUUUUUCUAUAAAUUUUUCAAAUAAGACGGAAGAUCAAACGUUAAACACGGAUAUUUAUGGCUGCACUUAUU